UGGGGAAUAUUGGACAAUGGGCGCAAGCCUGAUCCAGCCAUGCCGCGUGUGUGAAGAAGGCCUUUUGGUUGUAAAGCACUUUAAGCGAGGAGGAGGCUACUUGGAUUAAUACUCUAAGAUAGUGGACGUUACUCGCAGAAUAAGCACCGGCUAACUCUGUGCCAGCAGCCGCGGUAAUACAGAGGGUGCGAGCGUUAAUCGGAUUUACUGGGCGUAAAGCGUGCGUAGGCGGCUUCUUAAGUCGGAUGUGAAAUCCCUGAGCUUAACUUAGGAAUUGCAUUCGAUACUGGGAAGCUAGAGUAGGGGAGAGGAUGGUAGAAUUCCAGGUGUAGCGGUGAAAUGCGUAGAGAUCUGGAGGAAUACCGAUGGCGAAGGCAGCCAUCUGACCUAAUACUGACGCUGAGGUACGAAAGCAUGGGGAGCAAACAGG
rnacentral:rRNA from 1 species